rnacentral:rRNA from 1 species
GUGAACGCUGGCGGUAGGCCUAACACAUGCAAGUCGAACGGCAGCACAGUAAGAGCUUGCUCUUACGGGUGGCGAGUGGCGGACGGGUGAGGAAUACAUCGGAAUCUACUUUUUCGUGGGGGAUAACGUAGGGAAACUUACGCUAAUACCGCAUACGACCUACGGGUGAAAGCAGGGGAUCUUCGGACCUUGCGCGAUUGAAUGAGCCGAUGUCGGAUUAGCUAGUUGGCGGGGUAAAGGCCCACCAAGGCGACGAUCCGUAGCUGGUCUGAGAGGAUGAUCAGCCACACUGGAACUGAGACACGGUCAAGACUCCUACGGGAGGCAGCAGUGGGGAAUAUUGGACAAUGGGCGCAAGCCUGAUCCAGCCAUACCGCGUGGGUGAAGAAGGCCUUCGGGUUGUAAAGCCCUUUUGUUGGGAAAGAAAAGCAGCAGGUUAAUACCCCGCUGUUCUGACGGUACCCAAAGAAUAAGCACCGGCUAACUUCGUG